GGGUCAGUAGGUUGGUCGUGCCACCGGUACGUACUGGUCUCACUGAUUCCUCCUUCCUGAAGAACCGUAAUGCCAUUAAUGUGGUGUUGCGGGGAAACAGGACUGUUACUUUGAAAAAAUUAGAGUGUUUAAAGCAAGCUAACGCUUGAAUACAUUAGCAUGGAAUAAUGAAAUAGGACGAUCGAUCCUAUUUUGUUGGUUUCUAGGAUUGACGUA
rnacentral:rRNA from 1 species